rnacentral:rRNA from 1 species
ACAAGCGGAGGAACAUGUGGUUAAUUCGAUGAUACGCGAGGAACCUUACCUGGGCUAGAACGCAUUCGGAAUCAGGCCGAAAGGCCUGCGCCAGCGAUGGCCGCUUGCGAGGUGCUGCAUGGUUGUCGUCAGCUCGUGCCGUGAGGUGUCGGGUUAAGUCCCAUAACGAGCGCAACCCCUACUGCUAGUUGCCAGCGGGUCAUGCCGGGGACUCUAGCGGAACUGCCAGCGUAAGCUGCGAGGAAGGUGGGGAUGACGUCAAAUCAGCACGGCCCUUACGUCCAGGGCUACACACGUGCUACAAUGGCCGAUACAGAGGGCAGCUACCUGGUGACAGGAUGCAAAUCUCCAAAGUCGGUCUCAGUUCGGAUCGGAGUCUGCAACCCGACUCCGUGAAGUUGGAUUCGCUAGUAAUCGCGCAUCAGCCAUGGCGCGGUGAAUACGUUCCCGGGCCUU